GUAGCAAUCUCUAUUAUUCAAAGCUAAUCGCUGAUCUCCUAAUAUCUACGGAUAUCAGUGAGCAUUAUAUAGGCGACUACCAUGCCCUACAGCCGCCUAUGGUGCCGUGCGCUAUGUCCCUCCUCAUUAAUUCUGGCGUGUUCUGUGUUCUUCUAUCGCCACAUAGCUAUUUCCUAAUAUAGAUAUUACAAUUCUAAUCGCUCAUAACUUUAUUUGAGUGGUCCGUUGUUACACACACCUACAAUAAAACAUGCAACAUUAGUUAAAACAUGCAAGAUCCCUUGAAAACCAAUCUGAAUCCUCUACUGUCUUCAAUGAUCACAAUGCACAUUUGCAACAGUUGAAUGAUCAAAUCUGUGAACAAGAGCAGCAAUUAGCUAUUCUGCAUGCACAACAGUGACUCAAUGAGUUGAAAGUGCAGAUUUGUGAAGAUACUCUCAUUGAGUCUCAAUUAACUCAGAAUAUCAUCACAGAACUGCUGCAAAAUCAAUCUGUGAAUGAUACAGACAAUGAUAAUGAAACAUCACUGAGAUUAGAGAUUAAAAACUAUUAUUGAGAAAAAAAUAUAUUAGAAUUUAAAAACUAUAAAGAUUGCAUAUUGACUCUCUUUACAUAUCACUGCUGAUAUUAUUGAAAGAAAGAACACAAGAUAAAUGAUGCUAAACUCUAUCUUAAUAUUCAUAUUAAGCAGAAAUGAUUGAAUUUUGUAUCAUUGUAUGAGAGAUAUGAAGAAGCAACACUGUUGACUUUUGACAAUAUACUAUCACAUCUAGAAAUACAAAUUAACAAUUCACAGAAUCAGCAUCAAUUGACAAGUCAAAAGUUUCAAAAUACAAAACAACAAGAAUGACAAUCAAUAUACAAUUUCUCUAAAUAUUUUGAAGACUGGAAAUACUACUUAUCUUCAUAUAGCAAAGAACAA
rnacentral:sRNA from 1 species